CCUACGGGUGGCAGCAGUGAGGAAUAUUGGACAAUGGAGGAGAGCCUGAUGCAGCGAAGCAGCGUGAGGGAAGAAUGAAUUAGGUGUGGAAAACUCUUUCAACAUGGGAGAAAAUUGCGGUACCUGAGUAAUAAGCCCCGUCUCACUACGUGCCAGCAGCGGCGGUAAUACGUAGGGGGCAAGCGUUAUCCGGAUUUACUGGGUGUAAAGGGGGCGUAGAGGGCAGAGCAAGUAUGGAGUGAAAGGUGGGGGCUCAACCCCCGGACUGCGAGUGAAACUGUACGGCUGGAGUGCAGGAGAGGUAAGCGGAAUUCGUAGUGUAGCGGUGAAAUGCGUAGAUAUCAGGAGGAACACCAGUGGCGAAGGCGGCUCACUGGACUGCAACUGACGCUGAGGCUCGAAAGUGUGGGGAGCAAACAGGAUUAGAUACCCUAGUAGUC
rnacentral:rRNA from 1 species